UACGUAGGGGGCUAGCGUUGUCCGGAUUUAUUGGGCGUAAAGAGCGUGUAGGCGGCCAUGUAGGUCCGGUGUGAAAACUCGAGGCUUAACCUCGAGAUGUCAUCGGAAACCAUUUGGCUAGAGUCCGGAAGAGGAGAGUGGAAUUCCUGGUGUAGCGGUGAAAUGCGCAGAUAUCAGGAAGAACACCAAUGGCGAAAGCAGCUCUCUGGGUCGAUACUGACGCUGAGGCGCGAAAGCCAGGGGAGCAAACGGG
rnacentral:rRNA from 1 species